CAGUAGCCGCGGUAAUACGGAGGGGGCUAGCGUUGUUCGGAAUUACUGGGCGUAAAGCGCACGUAGGCGGCUUGGUAAGUUAGAGGUGAAAGCCUGGAGCUCAACUCCAGAAUUGCCUUUAAGACUGCCGAGCUAGCAGGUGAGAGAGGUAAGUGGAAUUCCGAGUGUAGAGGUGAAAUUCGUAGAUAUUCGGAAGAACACCAGUGGCGAAGGCGGCUUACUGGCUCAUACUGGACGCUGAGGUGCGAAAGCGUGGGGAGCAAACAGGAUUAGAGACCCCUGUAGUCCCUGUCUCUUAUAC
rnacentral:rRNA from 1 species